rnacentral:SRP_RNA from 1 species
GCUGGGCACGGUGGCGCUUGCCUGUAAUCCCAGCACUUCGGAGGCUGAGGUGGGCGGAUCACUUGAGGUCAGGAGUUUGUGACCAGCCUGGUCAACAUGGUGAAACCCCGUCUCUA